ACGGCAGAACUGGAUUUGAACUAAAGAAUAAGAAAGAAGGGGAAGAAGAGAAGAGAACAAACAGCGAAAAGAGAAGUGCAGAGAGAAGAGGAGUUUGGAACACGCAUGUCUUCCAUCUUAAGAGGAGAGAAAUCUUGAGGAACCAACGUCGUUGGAAAGACAGAGAGCGACUGAAAGGUAGAACCUGCAAACAACAAGGUGGCUGAGUCAACGUUUGUCUUAUUAAUGAGGACACGGAGAUGGUCUUUAUGGUCUCUGCCUUAUUUUUGAUGAAGGAACCGGCCUAAUCUGUCCCUCAAGCC
rnacentral:lncRNA from 1 species